rnacentral:rRNA from 1 species
CAAUAGCGUAUAUUUAAGUUGUUGCAGUUAAAAAGCUCGUAGUUGGAUUUCGGGUGGGACGCAGCGGUCUCGCAUUGCGUUUGUACUGCUGCAGCCCUCCUUCUUGCCGGGGGCGGCCUCUCGGACCUCACUGUCUGGGGGUCAGAAUCGGCGAUGUUACUUUGAGUAAAUUAGAGUGUUCAAAGCAAGCUUACGCUCUGAAUAUAAUAGCAUGGGAUAACACGACAGGACUCUGGCCUAUCGUGUUGGUCUAUAGGACCAGAGUAAUGAUUAAGAGGGACAGUCGGGGGCAUUCGUAUUCCGUUGUCAGAGGUGAAAUUCUUGGAUUUACGGAAGACGAACAUCUGCGAAAGCAUUUGCCAAGGAUGUUUUCAUUGA